ensembl:lncRNA
UGUGAGCCAAUGCAAACCAUCCACCCCACUCAAGAGCAUUUAUUGCAUCCAAGUGGGACAAAGUAGGACGAGAUUAUUCAGACCGCAAUGCAAAUAAGUGAGUUCCCCCCGGCGGCUGAGUGCAGGAUGGGACUAACAAUGGAAAAGGGCUCCGGCAGGCUGAGCCUAAUCUCUGCAUGUCGAGAGGAGCCGUGACAUGUCAGAUCCUGCAACGUCUAUUUUCUCACAGCAACACCUCGGUUCUCUCAGGGACAAGCAGGCACAGGCACACGGGCCCGCGGUACUCCACCGCUAAUAACAGAAGCUGGAAUCAAGCCAUGGGAAAAAGAAAUCGUGCAUGUGUGCAUCCAAUCCGUAAUUGGUCCAUGCUGGCAGAGGCACCUGUAAGAGAUCCAUCUCCUCCGCAGCCGGACGGGCCAAGCGCCUCAGCAUCUCCCAGAUGGACCUCACAGCGAGCGGGCUGCCCGUGCAAACCUCCCCCCCCCCGCCUCUCACCAGCGGAUGGUGCCUCACAGGCGGAACGUCGUUCCACAUUAAUCCCAAUAAAGGGGCCUUACCCAGCGACGACCAGGCAGGGACGUUUCUCCGCUGUUUGGUUUGUGGACGGAGGAAUCAGCCUCUCGUGCCAACAAUGCCUUCUUCUUCUCCUUAUAGAGCGGAGGGUUGGACAUUUAGUGUCUGCCUGGAGAGGAAAAUGACAGUUUAACUACAGAAAAACUGGAUUUAAAACGUUGUAAUAUUUUUGAGAUCAACUUGGCAGCUUUCUUUAUCAUCAGCGUUUGUCAUCAGUUACUUGCUGCGGUUCCCUCUCAUUCACUCCA